GACGAACGCUGGCGGCGCGCUUAACACAUGCAAGUCGAACGGAAAGGCCUGCUUUCCCUUGUGGAUUGCGGGUACUCGAGUGGCGAACGGGUGAGUAACACGUGAGUGAUCUGCCCCCAACUUGGGUAUAAGCCUGGGAAACUGUGUCUAAUUCCCGAUAGGACUGCAGGGUGGUGCCUGUGGUGGAAAACGAUUUUCUAGUGGUUGGGGAUGAGCUCGCGGCCUAUCAGCUUGUUGGUGGGGUAAUGGCCUACCAAGGCGGCGACGGGUAGCCGGCCUGAGAGGGUGGACGGCCACAUUGGGACUGAGAUACGGCCCAGACUGCUACGGGAGGCAGCAGUGGGGAAUAUUGCACAAUGGGCGGAAGCCUGAUGCAGCGACGGCGCGUGGGGGAUGACGGCCUUCGGGUUGUAAACUCCUUUCGACCGCGAGGAAGCCACCUGGUUGGAAGGGUGGUGACGGUAGUGGUAGAAGAAGCACCGGCUAACUACGUG
rnacentral:rRNA from 1 species